rnacentral:rRNA from 1 species
GACGAACGCUGGCGGCGUGCUUAACACAUGCCAGUCGAACGGAAAGGCCCUGCUUUUGUGCGGUGCUCGAGGGGCGACCGGGUGACUAACACGUGAGUACCCUGUCCCUGACUUUGGGAUAACUUCAGGAAACUGGGGCUAAUACCGGAUAGGAUCUCCUGCUGCUUGGUGGGGGUUGGAAAGUUUCGCCGGUUGGUGAUGGACUGGCGGCUCAACAGCUUGUUGGUGGGGUUGUGGCAUACCAAGGCUUUGCCGGGUAGACGGCCUGAGAGGGUGACAGGACACAUCGGGACUGGGAUGCGACACAGACUACAACGGGAGGCAGCGGUGGAGAAUGUUGCACAAUGGGAGGAAGCAAGGUGCAGCAACGCCGCGUGGGGGAAGACGGCCUGCGGGUUGUAAACCGCUUUCGCUUGUGACGAAGCGUGAGUGACGGUAAUGGGUAAAGAAGCACCGGCUAACUACGUG